ACUCAUCAUAACGAUCUUGCCAUUGAUUGUAGCACCAAUGAAUGCGAAUACUUCUCUGCUCCUCGUACACGAUACGAUUGUUUUCCAAUAUUUGUUGGACAAAAUAAGUUUUCCCACUUUGGCUCGGACCCACGACCACUAGCGAAAAUUUAUGGCGGAAGUUGAAUUCUGGAUAGGGUUUGGUGGUCAAAGAUGAUGUAACUUUCGGUACGGUUUUUGUUGGUUUUAGUACAGACCUUGUUUUCUUUCGAACACACUUCACUUCUUUUAGUAUAUGUGCCGGUCGUAUGGGCAGCAAAUUUGAGUUGUGGCUAUGCGGUGCUGAGAACCUCGCCCUUCCUAACCACUUUUUCCUUUGAUCUCCGUAUAAGUUAUGUACUUGGCGCAAAUGAUCACUUAUAUAUAGAAGGCAAGGCUUGUUACAGAGAGGACAGUCUCUUUUGUGCUUAUAGGGCAUGUUGACACUUUGAAAGUUCAAUCAUAAAUGACCGAGAAUAAAUGGCUUGAAAACAUUUAUAUAUAUAUUUUUUACGGCGACAUGUGGGUGUGACGUAGGGUCAAUGUAGGGUCGAUGUAGGGUCGAUGUAGGGUCGAUGUAGGAUCGAUGUGGGGUCGAUGUGGG